rnacentral:rRNA from 1 species
UACAGAGGUCUCAAGCGUUGUUCGGAUUCAUUGGGCGUAAAGGGUGCGUAGGUGGCGCCGUAAGUCGGGUGUGAAAUUUCGGAGCUCAACUCCGAAACUGCAUUCGAUACUGCGGUGCUUGAGGACUGGAGAGGAGACUGGAAUUCAUGGUGUAGCAGUGAAAUGCGUAGAUAUCGGGAGGAACACCAGUGGCGAAGGCGACUACCUGGCCUGUUCUUGACGCUGAGGCGCGAAAGCUAGGGGAGCAAACGGG